CAUGCUCCACCACCGAUUUCGCUAUUGGGUGUUCACUAUUUGCCUACAUAUUUAUCAGAUAGAGGAAUGUUAGCAUGAAUGACAAAAAACAAUUUUACAAUAGCAUAAACAGUGAUUUAUCUCAUCCUAACUACUCUACAAACACUAACAUUUUUAAUGCAACUGGUUAAGUGUUGGAAAUGUGCCCUAAAGCCAAUCAUAUGAUGAUACUUUACGGACAUUUCACAUGUUAAACUAAUCUA
rnacentral:lncRNA from 1 species